UGCCCCAUGGCUGAGUUGGUUACAGCGUCCGACUGUUACGAUUGAACUGAUUUAUGCUUACGUAAUCAUCGGAAGGUCGUGAGUUCGAGCCUCACUGGGGCAG